UCUCUGGUGGUCCAGUGGUUAAGACUCUGCAUUUCCACUGCAGGAGGCAUGGGUUCAAUCCCUGGUCAGGGAA
rnacentral:tRNA from 1 species